AGCCGAGAACCUCUGAGAGCUCUUCAUACUUUGCCAGCAUCAGCGUAUAAUCUUGAGGUGCAGCGUUUUAUAGAUCAAGUGUAUCAUUCAAAGAUUCAUCUCAGUGGACUGGGAUAUUUUUACGUCACAAGAGUAACAGUACUUUCGAUGCUUUCCACCAUAGUGACCUAUGAGCUGGUCCUAUUGCAAC